rnacentral:rRNA from 1 species
UGUGCCCUUGAGGCGUGGCUUCCGGAGCUAACGCGUUAAGUAGACCGCCUGGGGAGUACGGCCGCAAGGUUAAAACUCAAAUGAAUUGACGGGGGCCCGCACAAGCGGUGGAGCAUGUGGUUUAAUUCGAUGCAACGCGAAGAACCUUACCUGGUCUUGACAUCCACAGAAGUUUGCAGAGAUGCGAAUGUGCCUUCGGGAACUGUGAGACAGGUGCUGCAUGGCUGUCGUCAGCUCGUGUUGUGAAAUGUUGGGUUAAGUCCCGCAACGAGCGCAACCCUUAUCCUUUGUUGCCAGCGGUUAGGCCGGGAACUCAAAGGAGACUGCCAGUGAUAAACUGGAGGAAGGUGGGGAUGACGUCAAGUCAUCAUGGCCCUUACGACCAGGGCUACACACGUGCUACAAUGGCGCAUACAAAGAGAAGCGACCUCGCGAGAGCAAGCGGACCUCAUAAAGUGCGUCGUAGUCCGGAUUGGAGUCUGCAACUCGACUCCAUGAAGUCGGAAUCGCUAGUAAUCGUGGAUCAGAAUGCCACGGUGAAUACGUUCCCGGGCCUUGUACACACCGCCCGUCACACCAUGGGAGUGGGUUGCAAAAGAAGUAGGUAGCUUAACCUUCGGGAGGGCGCUUACCACUUUGUGAUUCAUGACUGGGGUGAAGUCGUAACAAGGUAACCGUAGGGGAACCUGCGGUUGGAUCACCUCCUUACCUGAAAGAA